AUUGAACGCUGGCGGCAGGCCUAACACAUGCAAGUCGAGCGGAUGAAGAGAGCUUGCUCUCUGAUUUAGCGGCGGACGGGUGAGUAAUGCCUAGGAAUCUGCCUGGUAGUGGGGGAUAACGUCCGGAAACGGGCGCUAAUACCGCAUACGUCCUACGGGAGAAAGCAGGGGACCUUCGGGCCUUGCGCUAUCAGAUGAUCCUAGGUCGGAUUAGCUAGUUGGUGAGGUAAUGGCUAACCAAGGCUACGAUCCGUAACUGGUCUGAGAGGAUGAUCAGUCACACUGGAACUGAGACACGGUCCAGACUCCUACGGGAGGCAGCAGUGGGGAAUAUUGGACAAUGGGCGAAAGCCUGAUCCAGCCAUGCCGCGUGUGUGAAGAAGGUCUUCGGAUUGUAAAGCACUUUAAGUUGGGAGGAAGGGCAGUAAGUUAAUACCUUGCUGUUUUGACGUUACCGACAGAAUAAGCACCGGCUAACUUCGUGCCAGCCGCCGCCGUAAGAC
rnacentral:rRNA from 1 species